CCUUUUUGUCCUGAAGUUGCACCAUACUCCCAACAGAUAUCCGCUGCCGUAACCGGACCGACGGGCGUGCGGUGUUGUUACUUUAACUGGUCGAUCGCGUCUCGAGAGUGUCAUCACCUAAAGGGUAUAUACAUCUACUGUGUAUAUAUAUAUAUUACACCAUGGGGUCAAUUUAAACGGCGUGAAUAGGAAAAUUAGACACUUAUCAGCCAUGCCGCUUUGACAAGAUCACUCCAGUUGUCAUUAAGUACUACUUUAUAAUCAACAAGGCCAAAG
rnacentral:lncRNA from 1 species